rnacentral:rRNA from 1 species
UACGUAGGAGGCGAGCGUUGUCCGGAUUUACUGGGCGUAAAGAGCGCGCAGGCGGCAGCCUAAGUACGGAGUGAAAUCUCCCUGCUCAACGGGGAGGGUGCUCUGUAAACUGGGCAGCUAGAGGGCGGCAGAGGGGGGUGGAAUUGCUGGUGUAGCGGUGAAAUGCGUAGAUAUCGGGAGGAACACCAGCGGCGAAGGCGGCUUUCUGGACCAAUACUGACGCUGAGACGCGAAAGCGUGGGGAGCAAACAGG